AUUGAACGCUGGCGGCAGGCCUAACACAUGCAAGUCGAGCGAGCGGCGGACGGGUGAGUAAUGUAUGGGGAUUUGCCUGACAGAGGGGGAGAACUACUGGAAACGGUGGAUAAUAACGCAUACUAUCGGAUGAAGCCAUAUGGGAUUAGCUAGUAGGUGGGGUAAAGGCUCACCUAGGCGACGAUGGCUAGCUGGCCUGAGAGGAUGAUCAGCCACACUGGGACUGAGACACGGCCCAGACUCCUACGGGAGGCAGCAGUGGGGAAUAUUGCACAAUGGGCGCAAGCCUGAUGCAGCCAUGCCGCGUGUAUGAAGAAGGCCUUAGGGUUGUAAAGUACUUUCAGCGGGGAGGCGUUACCCGCAGAAGAAGCACCGGCUAACUCCGUGCCAGCAGCCGCGGUAAUUC
rnacentral:rRNA from 1 species